UACCGUUGAAUCAUCCGUUGGUACCGUGCCGCCGUUAUACUUCGCUGUUGCAUCGUUGCUGACGCUAAGCGUUAACG
rnacentral:tRNA from 1 species